GUGACCCUUCGUGCAUCACGCGUUGUCGCAAUUGUACGACACGGUCAUGUCUUCAUUUACCGAAAGGAGGGUGCAAGUGUGGCUGCGUGCCAUUCACCACGUUAUGCGCACCAUGGAACACGACGAAAUGCAGGCCUCGUGGACCUUAUCCCACGUGCCAUCUCAUAGGCAGAGAAUGUGACUGCUACUGUUGAGUGGAACAUUCGUCUAAGAAAAACCUAUCUAUCACCGGCUAGACUACGACGUAACUGCCACUCCAGAUUUCUACAAAACUUCAGUGCCUAACUAAAGCUACUUCAUGACAUAUAUCACUAAAAAGUGUGAGACUCUAC